rnacentral:rRNA from 1 species
GAACGAGGAUAUAUCCUUCGGGAUAUAAGCCGAGUGGCGCAAGGGUGAGUAAUGCAUAGAUUACCUGCCUCUAGGAUAAGGACAACUUUGUGAAAACGAAGCUAAUACUUAAUAAUACAAAAGAAAAUAAUUUUCUUUUGUCAAUGGGAGGGUAGCAAUACCUUUUGCCUAGAGAGGGGCUUAUGUCCUAUCAGCUUGUUGGUGGGGUAAUGGCCUGCCAAGGCGAAGACGGGUAGCCGGUCUUAGAGGAUGGUCGGCCACACUGGGACUGAGACACUGCCCAGACUUCUACGGAAGGCUGCAGUCGAGAAUCUUUCGCAAUGCCCGAAAGGGUGACGAAGCGACGCCGCGUGAGUGAGGAAGGCCUUAGGGUUGUAAAGCUCUGUCAGGAGUUAAGAAAUAUAAGUGUGUUAAUACCACGUUUAUUUGACGAAGGCUCCAAAGGAAGCCACGGCUAACUCUGUGCCAGCAGCCGCGGUAAUACAGAGGUGGCAAGCGUUGUUCGGAAUUAUUGGGCGUAAAGAGCACGUAGGUGGGUUUGUAAGUCAGAUGUGAAAGCCUUCUGUUCAACGGAAGAAUUGCAUCUGAAACUGCAAGUCUUGAGUGUAGGAGGGGAGAAUGGAACUUCUGGUGGAGCGGUGAAAUGCGUAGAUAUCAGAAGGAACGCCGGCGGCGAAAGCGAUUCUCUGGCCUAUUACUGACGCUCAGUGUGCGAAAGCUAGGGGAGCAAACGGGAUUAGAUACCCCGGUAGUCCUAGCCGUAAACGAUGGGCACUAAGUAGAGGGAAUUACCGAUGUUCUCUCUGCCGUAGCUAACGCAUUAAGUGCCCCGCCUGGGGAGUACGGCCGCAAGGCUAAAACUCAAAAGAAUUGACGGGGGCUCGCACAAGCGGUGGAGCAUGUGGCUUAAUUCGAUGCAACGCGAAAAACCUUACCGGGGCUUGACAUGGUAGAAGUAGGAACCCGAAAGGGUAACGAACGGUAUCCAGUCCAUAGCUAUCACAGGUGUUGCAUGGCUGUCGUCAGCUCGUGUCGUGAGACGUUGGGUUAAGUCCCCUAACGAGCGAAACCCUUGUUUUUAGUUACCAGCGGGUUAUGCCGGGUACUCUAGAAAGACUGCCGUCGUCAAGACGGAGGAAGGUGGGGAUGACGUCAAGUCAUCAUGGCCCUUAUGCCCCGGGCUGCACACGUGCUACAAUGGUCGGUACAAACGGAAGCGAAGCCGAGAGGUGAAGCGAAUCCUAAAAAGCCGAUCUCAGUUCGGAUUGGAGGCUGAAAUUCGCCUCCAUGAAGUUGGAAUCGCUAGUAAUCGCGGAUCAGCAAUGCCGCGGUGAAUAUGUUCCCGAGCCCUGUACACACCGCCCGUCAAGCCACCCAAGCAGGAUGCACCCGAAAACAUUAUAUCUAACCAGGGCAACUUGGAGGAAAGUGUUGAAGGAGUGUUUUGUGA